rnacentral:rRNA from 1 species
CGGACGGGUGAGUAAUACAUCGGAAUCUACUCUGUCGUGGGGGAUAACGUAGGGAAACUUACGCUAAUACCGCAUACGACCUACGGGUGAAAGCAGGGGAUCUUCGGACCUUGCGCGAUUGAAUGAGCCGAUGUCGGAUUAGCUAGUUGGCGGGGUAAAGGCCCACCAAGGCGACGAUCCGUAGCUGGUCUGAGAGGAUGAUCAGCCACACUGGAACUGAGACACGGUCCAG